GGUUAAGCGACUAAGCGUACACGGUGGAUGCCCUGGCAGUCAGAGGCGAUGAAGGACGUGCUAAUCUGCGAUAAGCGUCGGUAAGGUGAUAUGAACCGUUAUAACCGGCGAUUUCCGAAUGGGGAAACCCAGUGUGAUUCGUCACACUAUCAUUAACUGAAUCCAUAGGUUAAUGAGGCGAACCGGGGGAACUGAAACAUCUAAGUACCCCGAGGAAAAGAAAUCAACCGAGAUUCCCCCAGUAGCGGCGAGCGAACGGGGAGCAGCCCAGAGCCUGAAUCAGUGUGUGUGUUAGUGGAAGCGUCUGGAAAGGCGCGCGAUACAGGGUGACAGCCCCGUACACAAAAAUGCACAUGCUGUGAGCUCGAUGAGUAGGGCGGGACACGUGGUAUCCUGUCUGAAUAUGGGGGGACCAUCCUCCAAGGCUAAAUACUCCUGACUGACCGAUAGUGAACCAGUACCGUGAGGGAAAGGCGAAAAGAACCCCGGCGAGGGGAGUGAAAAAGAACCUGAAACCGUGUACGUACAAGCAGUGGGAGCCUCUUUAUGGGGUGACUGCGUACCUUUUGUAUAAUGGGUCAGCGACUUAUAUUCUGUAGCAAGGUUAACCGAAUAGGGGAGCCGAAGGGAAACCGAGUCUUAACUGGGCGUUAAGUUGCAGGGUAUAGACCCGAAACCCGGUGAUCUAGCCAUGGGCAGGUUGAAGGUUGGGUAACACUAACUGGAGGACCGAACCGACUAAUGUUGAAAAAUUAGCGGAUGACUUGUGGCUGGGGGUGAAAGGCCAAUCAAACCGGGAGAUAGCUGGUUCUCCCCGAAAGCUAUUUAGGUAGCGCCUCGUGAAUUCAUCUCCGGGGGUAGAGCACUGUUUCGGCAAGGGGGUCAUCCCGACUUACCAACCCGAUGCAAACUGCGAAUACCGGAGAAUGUUAUCACGGGAGACACACGGCGGGUGCUAACGUCCGUCGUGAAGAGGGAAACAACCCAGACCGCCAGCUAAGGUCCCAAAGUCAUGGUUAAGUGGGAAACGAUGUGGGAAGGCCCAGACAGCCAGGAUGUUGGCUUAGAAGCAGCCAUCAUUUAAAGAAAGCGUAAUAGCUCACUGGUCGAGUCGGCCUGCGCGGAAGAUGUAACGGGGCUAAACCAUGCACCGAAGCUGCGGCAGCGACACUAUGUGUUGUUGGGUAGGGGAGCGUUCUGUAAGCCUGCGAAGGUGGCCUGUGAGGGUUGCUGGAGGUAUCAGAAGUGCGAAUGCUGACAUAAGUAACGAUAAAGCGGGUGAAAAGCCCGCUCGCCGGAAGACCAAGGGUUCCUGUCCAACGUUAAUCGGGGCAGGGUGAGUCGACCCCUAAGGCGAGGCCGAAAGGCGUAGUCGAUGGGAAACAGGUUAAUAUUCCUGUACUUGGUGUUACUGCGAAGGGGGGACGGAGAAGGCUAUGUUGGCCGGGCGACGGUUGUCCCGGUUUAAGCGUGUAGGCUGGUUUUCCAGGCAAAUCCGGAAAAUCAAGGCUGAGGCGUGAUGACGAGGCACUACGGUGCUGAAGCAACAAAUGCCCUGCUUCCAGGAAAAGCCUCUAAGCAUCAGGUAACAUCAAAUCGUACCCCAAACCGACACAGGUGGUCAGGUAGAGAAUACCAAGGCGCUUGAGAGAACUCGGGUGAAGGAACUAGGCAAAAUGGUGCCGUAACUUCGGGAGAAGGCACGCUGAUAUGUAGGUGAAGUCCCUCGCGGAUGGAGCUGAAAUCAGUCGAAGAUACCAGCUGGCUGCAACUGUUUAUUAAAAACACAGCACUGUGCAAACACGAAAGUGGACGUAUACGGUGUGACGCCUGCCCGGUGCCGGAAGGUUAAUUGAUGGGGUUAGCGGUAACGCGAAGCUCUUGAUCGAAGCCCCGGUAAACGGCGGCCGUAACUAUAACGGUCCUAAGGUAGCGAAAUUCCUUGUCGGGUAAGUUCCGACCUGCACGAAUGGCGUAAUGAUGGCCAGGCUGUCUCCACCCGAGACUCAGUGAAAUUGAACUCGCUGUGAAGAUGCAGUGUACCCGCGGCAAGACGGAAAGACCCCGUGAACCUUUACUAUAGCUUGACACUGAACAUUGAGCCUUGAUGUGUAGGAUAGGUGGGAGGCUUUGAAGUGUGGACGCCAGUCUGCAUGGAGCCGACCUUGAAAUACCACCCUUUAAUGUUUGAUGUUCUAACGUUGGCCCCUGAUCGGGGUUGCGGACAGUGUCUGGUGGGUAGUUUGACUGGGGCGGUCUCCUCCUAAAGAGUAACGGAGGAGCACGAAGGUUGGCUAAUCCUGGUCGGACAUCAGGAGGUUAGUGCAAUGGCAUAAGCCAGCUUGACUGCGAGCGUGACGGCGCGAGCAGGUGCGAAAGCAGGUCAUAGUGAUCCGGUGGUUCUGAAUGGAAGGGCCAUCGCUCAACGGAUAAAAGGUACUCCGGGGAUAACAGGCUGAUACCGCCCAAGAGUUCAUAUCGACGGCGGUGUUUGGCACCUCGAUGUCGGCUCAUCACAUCCUGGGGCUGAAGUAGGUCCCAAGGGUAUGGCUGUUCGCCAUUUAAAGUGGUACGCGAGCUGGGUUUAGAACGUCGUGAGACAGUUCGGUCCCUAUCUGCCGUGGGCGCUGGAGAACUGAGGGGGGCUGCUCCUAGUACGAGAGGACCGGAGUGGACGCAUCACUGGUGUUCGGGUUGUCAUGCCAAUGGCACUGCCCGGUAGCUAAAUGCGGAAGAGAUAAGUGCUGAAAGCAUCUAAGCACGAAACUUGCCCCGAGAUGAGUUCUCCCUGACUCCUUGAGAGUCCUGAAGGAACGUUGAAGACGACGACGUUGAUAGGCCGGGUGUGUAAGCGCAGCGAUGCGUUGAGCUAACCGGUACUAAUGAACCGUGAGGCUUAACCUU
rnacentral:rRNA from 1 species